rnacentral:rRNA from 1 species
AUUGAACGCUGGCGGCAGGCCUAACACAUGCAAGUCGAACGGUAACAGGAAGAAGCUUGCUUCUUUGCUGACGAGUGGCGGACGGGUGAGUAAUGUCUGGGAAACUGCCUGAUGGAGGGGGAUAACUACUGGAAACGGUAGCUAAUACCGCAUAACGUCGCAAGACCAAAGAGGGGGACCUUCGGGCCUCUUGCCAUCGGAUGUGCCCAGAUGGGAUUAGCUAGUAGGUGGGGUAACGGCUCACCUAGGCGACGAUCCCUAGCUGGUCUGAGAGGAUGACCAGCCACACUGGAACUGAGACACGGUCCAGACUCCUACGGGAGGCAGCAGUGGGGAAUAUUGCACAGUGGGCGCAAGCCUGAUGCAGCCAUGCCGCGUGUAUGAAGAAGGCCUUCGGGUUGUAAAGUACUUUCAGCGGGGAGGAAGGGAGUAAAGUUAAUACCUUUGCUCAUUGACGUUACCCGCAGAAGAAGCACCGGCUAACUCCGUG